rnacentral:rRNA from 1 species
CGGACGGGUGAGUAAUGCUUGGGAAUCUGGCUCAUGGAGGGGGAUAACUACGGGAAACUGUAGCUAAUACCGCGUAGUAUCGGAAGAUGAAAGUGUGGGACCGCAAGGCCACAUGCCAUGAGAUGAGCCCAAGUGGGAUUAGGUAGUUGGUUAGGUAAAGGCUGACCAAGCCGACGAUCUCUAGCUGGUCUGAGAGGAUGACCAGCCACACUGGAACUGAGACACGGUCCAGACUCCUACGGGAGGCAGCAGUGGGGAAUAUUGCACAAUGGGGGAAACCCUGAUGCAGCCAUGCCGCGUGAAUGAAGAAGGCCUUCGGGUUGUAAAGUUCUUUCGGUGAUGAGGAAGGUGUUUGUUUUAAUAGGACAAGCAAUUGACGUUAGUCACAGAAGAAGCACCGGCUAACUCCGUGCCAGCAGCCGCGGUAAUACGGAGGGUGCGAGCGUUAAUCGGAAUAACUGGGCGUAAAGGGCACGCAGGCGGUGACUUAAGUGAGAUGUGAAAGCCCCGAGCUUAACUUGGGAAUUGCAUUUCAUACUGGGUCGCUAGAGUACUUUAGGGAGGGGUAGAAUUCCACGUGUAGCGGUGAAAUGCGUAGAGAUGUGGAGGAAUACCGAAGGCGAAGGCAGCCCCUUGGGAAUGUACUGACGCUCAUGUGCGAAAGCGUGGGGAGCAAACAGGAUUAGAUACCCUGGUAGUCCACGCUGUAAACGCUGUCGAUUUGGGGAUUGGGCUUAGAGCUUGGUGCCCGUAGCUAACGUGAUAAAU